rnacentral:ncRNA from 1 species
GUUGUUGUUCAUCAUUAUUAUGAAGAUUGAAUUCGUCAAGUGUGAGAUUGUUCACCCACAAAUAUGGAUCAUGAGUUGGGUUUAGAUCGUUGUGAUACUGAUU